rnacentral:rRNA from 1 species
ACGAGAAUAUUCCGCAAUGGACGAAAGUCUGACGGAGCGACGCCGCGUGAUCGAUGAAGUGCUUCGGUACGUAAAGAUCUUUUUAUCGGGGACGAAGUUUAUUGACGGUACCCGAUGAAUAAGGAGCUCCUAACUCUGUGCCAGCAGGAGCGGUAAUACAGAGGCUCCAAGCAUUACCCGGAAUCAUUGGGCGUAAAGGGUGUCUAGGCGGCCAUAUUAGUCUCUCGUUAAAUCCGCGGGCUUAACCUGCGGUCUGCGAGGGAAACGGUAUGGCUCGAGGGCGUGAGAGGUGCAUGGAACUCAUGGUGGAGGGGUGAAAUCCGUUGAUAUCGUGGGGAACACCAAAGGCGAAGGCAGCGCACUGGCCAAAAUCUGACGCUCACACACGAAAAGCUAGGGUAGCGAAGAGGAUUAGAUACCCAGGUAGUCCCUGAGCGGGCUGGCAAGGCGCAU